rnacentral:misc_RNA from 1 species
AUGUUGAAAUUUCUUCUUGUUCUUAAAAUUGUGAAUUUGAGAAUAUAGUAAUAAAUCUGCUUCUUCCAUUUCGGAAAUGUGUAUGUGAUUUUGAAUGUGAAAUUAUCAAUUAUGAAUCUAAACUAUGAAUUGUUCUUGAAACUAUGAACUGUGAAUCUAAACCAAAUUACCGAAAUUAUUCGGUUCAGUUUUAACUUGUCUAAUAAUUCAGUUUUCAGUUUUUUCAAUUCGAUUCAAAAUCGAAUUGACCGUUUACUUGCCCCUAGCCCUAAAUUGGACAGUGGCCAAGUCUACUUGGUGGUCUUGGUGAAACCCAUUAGGGCUGCUAACUAAGAGACAAUGAUUAGGUCAGCCGAAAACAACUGAUCAAGCAUUUGAAAAUACUUUGAAAUUCCAAAUGAAAGAUCUAAG